AUGCGGCGGCUUCGGCUCAUCACCAACAUGAGGGCUCAUAAUGACAGGUGGUUUGCAGAUUACUUGCUAAGGGUCGGCAAUGGCACUGAGGAUGUCGACGAUCAAGGGAACAUACUACUCCCUGAAGAUAUUUGUCUGCCGUCUACAGGCGAGGUUGACGACCUGGAGAAACUUAUUGACCAUGUAUUUCCGAGUCUAGAUGACAACAUGUCUGAUUCUAAUUACAUAACAUCUCGAGCACUUUCCACGACAAAGGACAACGUCGACAAGAUAAACAUCCGCAUGAUAGAG
rnacentral:rRNA from 1 species